GACAGCAUGGCGUAGUGGUUUGCGCAUUGGACUAUGACUCUGGAGACCAGGGUUUGAAUCCCUGCUUAGCCA
rnacentral:tRNA from 1 species